GAGCUACCGAGAGUCGCAGAUACCAGGUGGCUGCAACUGUUUAUUAAAAACACAGCACUGUGCAAAAUCGCAAGAUGACGUAUACGGUGUGACGCCUGCCCGGUGCCGGAAGGUUAAUUGAUGGGGUUAGUUUUCGGACGAAGCUCUUGAUCGAAGCCCCGGUAAACGGCGGCCGUAACUAUAACGGUCCUAAGGUAGCGAAAUUCCUUGUCGGGUAAGUUCCGACCUGCACGAAUGGCGUAAUGAUGGCCACGCUGUCUCCACCCGAGACUCAGUGAAAUUGAAAUCGCUGUGAAGAUGCAGUGUACCCGCGGCUAGACGGAAAGACCCCGUGAACCUUUACUACAGCUUGGCACUGAACAUUGAGCCUACAUGUGUAGGAUAGGUGGGAGCCUUUGAAGCAAGCACGCCAGUGUUUGUGGAGGCAAUCUUGAAAUACCACCCUUGUAUGUUUGAUGUUCUAACUUGGUUCCCUAAUCGGGAAUGAGGACAGUGCCUGGUGGGUAGUUUGACUGGGGCGGUCUCCUCCCAAAGAGUAACGGAGGAGCACGAAGGUGGGCUAAUCACGGUUGGACAUCGUGAGGUUAGUGCAAUGGCAUAAGCCCGCUUGACUGCGAGAAUGACAAUUCGAGCAGGUGCGAAAGCAGGUCAUAGUGAUCCGGUGGUUCUGAAUGGAAGGGCCAUCGCUCAACGGAUAAAAGGUACUCCGGGGAUAACAGGCUGAUACCGCCCAAGAGUUCAUAUCGACGGCGGUGUUUGGCACCUCGAUGUCGGCUCAUCACAUCCUGGGGCUGAAGUCGGUCCCAAGGGUAUGGCUGUUCGCCAUUUAAAGUGGUACGCGAGCUGGGUUUAGAACGUCGUGAGACAGUUCGGUCCCUAUCUGCCGUGGGCGUUGGAAGAUUGAAGGGGGCUGCUCCUAGUACGAGAGGACCGGAGUGGACGAACCUCUGGUGUUCGGGUUGUGUCGCCAGACGCAUUGCCCGGUAGCUAAGUUCGGAAUCGAUAACCGCUGAAAGCAUCUAAGCGGGAAGCGAGCCCUGAGAUGAGUCUUCCCUGGCRCUUUAAGYGUCCUAAAGGGUUGUUCGAGACUAGAACGUUGAUAGGCAGGGUGUGUAAGCGUUGUGAGGCGUUGAGCUAACCUGUACUAAUUGCCCGUGAGGCUUAACCAUACAACACCCAAAGGGUUUUG
rnacentral:rRNA from 1 species